rnacentral:lncRNA from 1 species
CUUCGGCUUCACAUUAUCAAAAAAGAACUCACGCGGAUAUAAAAAAGAUUAUUUGUCAAAUGUUUUGAUUUAUCCACACCACCAUUCUUUGACUGUUGACACUUGCUUUUAUUUUCUUUUUAAUUUCGUCACAGCUGGUGAUCUAACUCAGAUGCCAAGCUGUAUAAUAUGAUGAACUUGACAUUUCCGUGGUACUAUACUCCUCCAUCUCUUCCACUUUCUCUAAUCACUACUCUACAACGCACGCAC